rnacentral:lncRNA from 1 species
AACAUCACUGUACCAUUCAAAAAUAAUUUUGGAAGGCCAUAAAGUAUUUUCUAACAUUCUAAAAGUUUAACCAAAUAGGAUCUAAGAUGAUCUAUUUGAAUCCUUAAAUCAGUUUAACAGACAUCACAAAGUUCUAAGUUCAAAAUUACAAAAGGUUAGCUUUCUAAAAUAAUUUCAUAUUUAUAAAGUGUCUUCAUUCGAGAAAUCUUAGAAUUAAUAUGAAUAGAGAAAUUUGUCCAAAGUCUAUCAUGUCUCUUAUGCACUCUUUUCCUCCUUAAUUCUCCGGCUUUUGAUGUAUGCAUCCUAAAUCGUAAAACCAUCAUUCCUUACUAAAACUGACGGUUCUUUUGGACAAAACAUCUGACAGGUGGAAUCUGAAGUUACAAUAUAGACUACAGGUUAUAAGUUUAUAAUAUUCAAAUUAUCUCUAAUAGUUUUUUAUUUUUUAACAUUUUUUUAAAAAAUCCUCAUCCUCUCCAAAUUUAAAAAGAUGAAGCACUAAACCUUCCUAUGAAGUAAUAGUUGUCAUUUACAAUAAUAUAAAGCAGAAAAAUACCCCUAGGAGACAAAAAUAUCGGGACAUAAUUUUAUCUCUCUCUCUCUCACACACACACA